rnacentral:rRNA from 1 species
AGUACCUUACUACUUGGAUAACCGUGGUAAUUCUAGAGCUAAUACAUGCUGAAAACCCCAACUUCGGGAGGGGUGUAUUUAUUAGAUAAAAAACCAACGCCCUUCGGGGCUUCUUGGUGAUUCAUGAUAACUUAACGGAUCGCAUGGCCUUGCGCCGGCGACGGUUCAUUCAAAUUUCUGCCCUAUCAACUUUCGAUGGUAAGGUAUUGGCUUACCAUGGUUUCAACGGGUAACGGGGAAUUAGGGUUCGAUUCCGGAGAGGGAGCCUGAGAAACGGCUACCACAUCCAAGGAAGGCAGCAGGCGCGCAAAUUAUCCAAUCCCGACACGGGGAGAUAGUGACAAUAAAUACUGAUACAGGGCUCUUUUGGGUCUUGUAAUUGGAAUGAGUACAAUUUAAACCUCUUAACGAGGAACAAUUGGAGGGCAAGUCUGGUGCCAGCAGCCGCGGUAAUUCCAGCUCCAAUAGCGUAUAUUAAAGUUGUUGCAGUUAAAAAGCUCGUAGUUGAACCUUGGGUCUGGCUGGCAGGUCCGCCUCACCGCGUGUACUUGUCCGGCCGGGCCUUCCUUCUGGAGAACCUCAUGCCCUUCACUGGGCGUGUUGGGGACCAGGACUUUUACUUUGAAAAAAUUAGAGUGUUCAAAGCAGGCCUUUGCUCGAAUACGUUAGCAUGGAAUAAUAAAAUAGGACGUGCGGUCCUAUUUUGUUGGUUUCUAGGACCGCCGUAAUGAUUAAUAGGGACAGUCNGGGGGCAUCAGUAUUCAAUUGUCAGAGGUGAAAUUCUUGNGAUUUAUUGAAGACUAACUACUGCGAAAGCAUUUGCCAAGGAUGNUUUUCAUUAAUCAGUGAACGAAAGUUAGGGGAUCGAAGACGAUCAGAUACCGUCGUAGUCUUAACCGUAAACUAUGCCGACUAGGGAUCGGGCGAU